rnacentral:rRNA from 1 species
AUUGAACGCUGGCGGCAGGCCUAACACAUGCAAGUCGAACGCGUGGCGGACGGGGGAGUAAUGUCUGGGAAACUGCCCGAUGGAAGGGGAUAACUCCUGGGAACGUUGGCUCAUAUAGCAUACCAUAUGAUGUGCCCACAUGGGAUUGGCUAGGAGGUGGGGUAACGCCUCACCGGGGCGACGAUCCCUAGCUGGUCUGAGAGGAUGACCAGCCAAACUGGGACUGAGACACGGUCCAGACUCCUACGGGAGGCAGCAGUGGGAAAUAUUGGACAAUGGGCGCAAGCCUGAUGCAGCCAUGCCGCGUGUAGGAAGGAGGCCUUCGGGUUGUAAAGUACUUUCAGCGGGGAGGCGUUACUCGCAGAAGAAGCACCGGCUAACUCCGUGCCAGCCGCCGCGGUAAUUC